AUUCUAGGUUGUGAUUCAUAUUUUGCUACUUCAUGUAGAUUAAAAACACUUUUGGUUAGUUUUACUUACGAUAAGUUCACCGUUGGUGAGUAAAAAGCAAAUCGGCAGCAUAUUUGCUGGUCUAUUUAAUUUAAGUGGUCGUUGAAUUGCAAACGACAAACGCAAAAGUCUAGUUGGGUAUGGAAAAGAAAGCUUAAACGAUUCCAGUAUGAAAACGGCGCGUUGUGGAUAUGUGACCUGUAGCAUACGGAAUACCUGCCUGCUUCGAUUCCCGCCUUUAUACGGUCGUCCCCAACAACUCAUCAUAAUGGCCGAUAGUUGUCCAACGUGAACGAACUACGUGCCGUAACCGUUACUGGUAUUAGGAGAACCGUUACAUUUUAUUCGAAAAAAAUCUCAAGCGCGAAUUAGUAAUGAGCAAAAUUGGUUUUAGUAUUGCAGUCGUGCACGACCAAGAUUACCUUUAUACUAGCAACACCAAAACCAAGAUGAACGAACAGGACAAGACUAAAACCAAGACGGAACGAAUAAGACCAAGACUAAAACCAAGACCGAGUAUGCAAGACCAAGACCGAAACCAAGGCCGAAUAUUAAAGACCAAGACCAAAUACGCAAGACUAAACGAAAAAUUAUCACUGCAACUUUAAUGCAUUCUUUUUGGAAAAAAACAUUUUUAGUAAUUGAAAUUUUUACCUUUACUUUAAUUAUUAAAAAAACGUAUGAGUUUAAAUAAGUAAAACCAAGACUUAACAUGCAAGACCAAGACCGAGACUGAAUAAGUAUGGAAAAGACUAAUACCAAGACUGGAACAGUCUUGUUUGAGUGUCGCUUUGCUCAUCAUUAAUGUGAAUUAAGGAACUAGUUAAAUACUAUUCAAAAACAGAAAGAAAAGCUUAUGGACAAUAUUGCUGUAUCAUCAUCAUCAUCAUAUGGUCGUCAGUCCUGAGA